rnacentral:rRNA from 1 species
GAUGAACGCUGGCGGCGUGCCUAAUACAUGCCAGUCGAGCGAACAGACGAGGAGCUUGCUCCUCUGACGUUAGCAGCGGACGGGUGAGUAACACGUGGAUAACCUACCUAUAAGACUGGGAUAACUUCGGGAAACCGGAGCUAAUACCGGAUAAUAUAUUGAACCGCAUGGUUCAAUAGUGAAAGACGGUUUUGCUGUCACUUAUAGAUGGAUCCGCGCCGCAUUAGCUAGUUGGUAAGGUAACGGCUUACCAAGGCAACGAUGCGUAGCCGACCUGAGAGGGUGAUCGGCCACACUGGAACUGAGACACGGUCCAGACUCCUACGGGAGGCAGCAGUAGGGAAUCUUCCGCAAUGGGCGAAAGCCUGACGGAGCAACGCCGCGUGAGUGAUGAAGGUCUUCGGAUCGUAAAACUCUGUUAUUAGGGAAGAACAAAUGUGUAAGUAACUAUGCACGUCUUGACGGUACCUAAUCAGAAAGCCACGGCUAACUACGUG